rnacentral:rRNA from 1 species
AGCGUACACGGUGGAUGCCCUGGCAGUCAGAGGCGAUGAAGGACGUGCUAAUCUGCGAUAAGCGUCGGUGAGGUGAUAUGAACCGUUAUAACCGGCGAUUUCCGAAUGGGGAAACCCAGUGUGUUUCGACACACUAUCAUUAACUGAAUCCAUAGGUUAAUGAGGCGAACCGGGGGAACUGAAACAUCUAAGUACCCCGAGGAAAAGAAAUCAACCGAGAUUCCCCCAGUAGCGGCGAGCGAACGGGGAGGAGCCCAGAGCCUGAAUCAGUGUGUGUGUUAGUGGAAGCGUCUGGAAAGGCGCGCGAUACAGGGUGACAGCCCCGUACACAAAAAUGCACAUGCUGUGAGCUCGAUGAGUAGGGCGGGACACGUGGUAUCCUGUCUGAAUAUGGGGGGACCAUCCUCCAAGGCUAAAUACUCCUGACUGACCGAUAGUGAACCAGUACCGUGAGGGAAAGGCGAAAAGAACCCCGGCGAGGGGAGUGAAAAAGAACCUGAAACCGUGUACGUACAAGCAGUGGGAGCCUCUUAAUGGGGUGACUGCGUACCUUUUGUAUAAUGGGUCAGCGACUUAUAUUCUGUAGCAAGGUUAACCGAAUAGGGGAGCCGAAGGGAAACCGAGUCUUAACUGGGCGUUAAGUUGCAGGGUAUAGACCCGAAACCCGGUGAUCUAGCCAUGGGCAGGUUGAAGGUUGGGUAACACUAACUGGAGGACCGAACCGACUAAUGUUGAAAAAUUAGCGGAUGACUUGUGGCUGGGGGUGAAAGGCCAAUCAAACCGGGAGAUAGCUGGUUCUCCCCGAAAGCUAUUUAGGUAGCGCCUCGUGAAUUCAUCUCCGGGGGUAGAGCACUGUUUCGGCAAGGGGGUCAUCCCGACUUACCAACCCGAUGCAAACUGCGAAUACCGGAGAAUGUUAUCACGGGAGACACACGGCGGGUGCUAACGUCCGUCGUGAAGAGGGAAACAACCCAGACCGCCAGCUAAGGUCCCAAAGUCAUGGUUAAGUGGGAAACGAUGUGGGAAGGCCCAGACAGCCAGGAUGUUGGCUUAGAAGCAGCCAUCAUUUAAAGAAAGCGUAAUAGCUCACUGGUCGAGUCGGCCUGCGCGGAAGAUGUAACGGGGCUAAACCAUGCACCGAAGCUGCGGCAGCGACACUAUGUGUUGUUGGGUAGGGGAGCGUUCUGUAAGCCUGUGAAGGUGGCCUGUGAGGGUUGCUGGAGGUAUCAGAAGUGCGAAUGCUGACAUAAGUAACGAUAAAGCGGGUGAAAAGCCCGCUCGCCGGAAGACCAAGGGUUCCUGUCCAACGUUAAUCGGGGCAGGGUGAGUCGACCCCUAAGGCGAGGCCGAAAGGCGUAGUCGAUGGGAAACAGGUUAAUAUUCCUGUACUUGGUGUUACUGCGAAGGGGGGACGGAGAAGGCUAUGUUGGCCGGGCGACGGUUGUCCCGGUUUAAGCGUGUAGGCUGGUUUUCCAGGCAAAUCCGGAAAACCAAGGCUGAGGCGUGAUGACGAGGCACUACGGUGCUGAAGUGACAAAUGCCCUGCUUCCAGGAAAAGCCUCUAAGCAUCAGGUAACAUCAAAUCGUACCCCAAACCGACACAGGUGGUCAGGUAGAGAAUACCAAGGCGCUUGAGAGAACUCGGGUGAAGGAACUAGGCAAAAUGGUGCCGUAACUUCGGGAGAAGGCACGCUGAUAUGUAGGUGAAGCGACUUGCUCGUGGAGCUGAAAUCAGUCGAAGAUACCAGCUGGCUGCAACUGUUUAUUAAAAACACAGCACUGUGCAAACACGAAAGUGGACGUAUACGGUGUGACGCCUGCCCGGUGCCGGAAGGUUAAUUGAUGGGGUUAGCGGUAACGCGAAGCUCUUGAUCGAAGCCCCGGUAAACGGCGGCCGUAACUAUAACGGUCCUAAGGUAGCGAAAUUCCUUGUCGGGUAAGUUCCGACCUGCACGAAUGGCGUAAUGAUGGCCAGGCUGUCUCCACCCGAGACUCAGUGAAAUUGAACUCGCUGUGAAGAUGCAGUGUACCCGCGGCAAGACGGAAAGACCCCGUGAACCUUUACUAUAGCUUGACACUGAACAUUGAGCCUUGAUGUGUAGGAUAGGUGGGAGGCUUUGAAGUGUGGACGCCAGUCUGCAUGGAGCCGACCUUGAAAUACCACCCUUUAAUGUUUGAUGUUCUAACGUUGGCCCCUAAUCGGGGUUGCGGACAGUGUCUGGUGGGUAGUUUGACUGGGGCGGUCUCCUCCUAAAGAGUAACGGAGGAGCACGAAGGUUGGCUAAUCCUGGUCGGACAUCAGGAGGUUAGUGCAAUGGCAUAAGCCAGCUUGACUGCGAGCGUGACGGCGCGAGCAGGUGCGAAAGCAGGUCAUAGUGAUCCGGUGGUUCUGAAUGGAAGGGCCAUCGCUCAACGGAUAAAAGGUACUCCGGGGAUAACAGGCUGAUACCGCCCAAGAGUUCAUAUCGACGGCGGUGUUUGGCACCUCGAUGUCGGCUCAUCACAUCCUGGGGCUGAAGUAGGUCCCAAGGGUAUGGCUGUUCGCCAUUUAAAGUGGUACGCGAGCUGGGUUUAGAACGUCGUGAGACAGUUCGGUCCCUAUCUGCCGUGGGCGCUGGAGAACUGAGGGGGGCUGCUCCUAGUACGAGAGGACCGGAGUGGACGCAUCACUGGUGUUCGGGUUGUCAUGCCAAUGGCACUGCCCGGUAGCUAAAUGCGGAAGAGAUAAGUGCUGAAAGCAUCUAAGCACGAAACUUGCCCCGAGAUGAGUUCU